rnacentral:tRNA from 1 species
GCGAUUGUAGUUCAGUCGGUAGAACAACUGCUUGCCAAGCAGUGGGUCGCGUGUUCGAAUCACGUCAAUCGCU